UACGUAGGGGGCAAGCGUUGUCCGGAUUUAUUGGGCGUAAAGAGCGUGUAGGCGGCCAGAUAGGUCAGCUGUGAAAACUCGGGGGCUCAACCCUGAGACGUCGGUUGAAACCAUCUGGCUAGAGUCCGGAAGAGGAGUGUGGAAUUCCCGGUGUAGCGGUGAAAUGCGCAGAUAUCGGGAGGAACACCAAUGGCGAAGGCAGCUCGCUGGGACGUUACUGACGCUGAGACGCGAAAGCGUGGGGAGCAAACAGG
rnacentral:rRNA from 1 species